rnacentral:rRNA from 1 species
GACGAACGCUGGCGGCGUGCCUAAUACAUGCAAGUCGAACGCAUUUUCUUUCACCGUAGCUUGCUACGCCGAAAGAAAAUGAGUGGCGAACGGGUGAGUAACACGUGGGUAACCUGCCCAUCAGCGGGGGAUAACACUUGGAAACAGGUGCUAAUACCGCAUAAUUCCAUUUACCGCAUGGCAGAUGGAUGAAAGGCGCUUUUGCGUCACUGAUGGAUGGACCCGCGGUGCAUUAGCUAGUUGGUGGGUAACGCUACCAAGGCUGCGAUGCAUAGCCGACUGAGAGGAUGAUCGG